AUCAAUUUAGGCGAUUCAAGAUGAGCCUGAGAUGAGACCUGAACCACAUGGAAUGGACUAAAUUUAAUGUUGAUAAUCUGAUUGCAGUUGAUUUGUUCAAGUUGACGGGUGGAUUGAUUCUUAAGGAGCAAUAUAAUUUCACAUUUUGAUGUCAAUAAUUAAACUGUAUUAAUAGCGAUUCAUAAUAACUGGUGGAUUAACAUCUUGUAUUGAAUUUUUAGGUGUUGGGUUGCAACCGAUAUCUACAAUAUCACCUGAUUAAAGCAUUACUUCAGUGAAUGGUUAUCCGAUAUUCAAUUAUGCAUUCAAUCACCUAAUUUCACAAUCAAAUCCCAUAAUCAUAAUCAAAUUGUUAAUCAACUCAUUGUAUAAUCAGAUAAAGAUCUGAAAAAUAUUUUACCAAAUAUGCUAUUUGUAUGCCAUCUUUACAUUAUUGUAUCCAACAUUGAACCAGAAAUUUUUUUGGUAAUUUUCCGCUCAAAGCGACGAUCAUUUGUCCCACAUAUUUUAAUUAAUCAUCAUUGACAUCUAACAAUGAUUAGCCAUUUAAUUACAACAAUAAAUGGGUUCUCGCCUAACCCAGAAAAUCGAA